UUCUUAGUUAUUAUAUUUUUAACAUAAUUUUGUGACUAUUGUCCACAAAGCUAAUUAUUAGUUUGAACUUAUAUUUCUUAAAAUUUCAAUGCGAAAGAAACGCACUAAAGCACAGAUAAGAUUAAGCAAUGACAGGAGAGCUUGGGUUAAACUUUUUCGAAAAGGAUUGAAGCAAAGAUUGUUUUUGAGAAGAAAUUUUAUUUUCCUAAACCAAUUUGCCAAAGCUGACAAAAAAAACCGUUUCUCACUAAAAAUAAAUCCAUUAAACAUUAAUCCUUUAUAAAAUCUUACCUGGAAUAAAUAAACUUUUAAGUGGAACCUCAGCAACA